AAUUAUACACAAGAAACUAAAAUUAAAAAUCAUACAAGACUAACAAAGGCCAGAGGCUCCUGACUUGGGACAGGCGCAAAAUUGCGGCGGGGUUAAACAUGUUAAUGAGAUCUCAACCCUCCCCUUACACCUCUAGCCAAUGUAGAAAAGUAAACGCAUAACAAUACGCACAUUAAAAUUCAGUUCAAGAGAAGUCCGAGUCCGAUGUCAAAAGAUGUAACAAAAAAAAUAAAUAAAAUGACAAUAAUACAUAAAUAACAACAGACUACUAGCAGUUAACUGUCAUGCCAGCUCCAGACCUCAAUUAAACU
rnacentral:lncRNA from 1 species